rnacentral:rRNA from 1 species
GCAAAUGACUAUCGCGUUGAAAGCACUGGUUCUCGACCGAUCACUGAAGUUAAGCAUCAUUGAGCCUAAUUAGUACUUAGAUGGGUGACUGCUUGGGAAACCUUGAUGCUGUAAGCA